rnacentral:rRNA from 1 species
CAGGACGAACGCUGGCGGCACGCUUAACACAUGCAAGUCGAACGGAGUUAUCGAGAGCUUGCUUUUGAUAACUUAGUGGCGGACGGGUGAGUAACACGUGAGCAAUCUGCCCUUAAGAGGGGGAUAGCAGUUGGAAACGACUGAUAAUACCGCAUAAGAUAGUAGUACCGCAUGGUACAGCUAUAAAAGAUUUAUCGCUUAAGGAUGAGCUCGCGUCUGAUUAGCUAGUUGGUGAGGUAACGGCUCACCAAGGCAACGAUCAGUAGCCGGACUGAGAGGUUGGACGGCCACAUUGGGACUGAGACACGGCCCAGACUCCUACGGGAGGCAGCAGUGGGGAAUAUUGCACAAUGGAGGAAACUCUGAUGCAGCGAUGCCGCGUGAGGGAAGGAGGUUUUAGGAUUGUAAACCUCUGUUGACAGGGACGAUAAUGACGGUACCUGUUGAGGAAGCUCCGGCUAACUACGUGCCAGCCGCAGC